AUCUUUGUGUUUGUGGCAAUGAAAAAGCUAGUGAGGUGAAACUGAGGCAUGUCAAUUGUUGGUUGAAAACUAUUUCCAAUUCACCAACAAUUAAAAUUUAAAUUUGGAUCUUGUGUGUGCUCA
rfam:Picea glauca, whole genome shotgun sequence.